rnacentral:antisense_RNA from 1 species
CGUGGGAGCUGGCUUGCCUGUGAUGCGGGCACCUCGGUUUGUCAGGUCCACCGAGGUGACGCCAUCGCAAGCAAGCCAGCUCCCACA